CAUGCAAGUCGAGCGUGAUUCUUAAACUUCGGUUUUUGAUGAAAGCGGCGAACGGGUGAGUAACGCGUGGGAACGUGCCCUUUAGUAUGGAAUAGCCCGGGGAAACCUGGAAUAAUACCAUAUACGCCCUUCGGGGGAAAGAUUUAUCGCUAAAGGAUCGGCCCGCGUCUGAUUAGGUAGUUGGUAAGGUAAAGGCUUACCAAGCCUACGAUCAGUAGCUGGUUUGAGAGGAUGAUCAGCCACACUGGGACUGAGACACGGCCCAGACUCCUACGGGAGGCAGCAGUGGGGAAUCUUGGACAAUGGGGGCAACCCUGAUCCAGCCAUGCCGCGUGAGUGAAGAAGGCCUUCGGGUUGUAAAACUCUUUCAACGGUGAAGAUAAUGACGGUAACCGUAGAAGAAGCCCCGGCUAACUCCGUGCCAGCAGCCGCGGUAAUACGGAGGGGGCUAGCGUUGUUCGGAAUUACUGGGCGUAAAGAGCAUGUAGGCGGACUGGUCAGUCAGUGGUGAAAUCCCGGAGCUCAACUCCGGAACUGCCUUUGAUACUGCCGGUCUAGAGUUUUGGAGAGGUGAGUGGAAUUCCGAGUGUAGAGGUGAAAUUCGUAGAUAUUCGGAGGAACACCAGCGGCGAAGGCGGCUCACUGGCCAAAAACUGACG
rnacentral:rRNA from 1 species